GAUGAACGCUGGCGGUGUGCCUAACACAUGCAAGUCGAGCGAAAGGACGAGAAGCUCUUGCUCUUGAUGUUAGCGGGGGACGGGCGAGUAAGACGUGGAUAACCUACUAAUAAGACUGGGAGAACUACGGGAAACCGGUGCUAAUACUGGAGGAUACUUUGUACCGCAUGGAGCAAAAGAGAAUGACGCCUUUGGCGAUUGAUAGAGACGGUGUCGCAUUAGCUAGUUGGCAGGGUAAGGGCUCACCAAGGCAACGAUACGUAGCAGGUCUGAGAGGAUGAUCGGCCACACUGGAACUGAGACACGGUCCAGACUCCUACGGGAGGCAGCAGUAGGGAAUCUUGCACAAUGGGCGCAAGCCUGACGCAGCCACGCCGCGUGAGUGAAGAAGGUCUUCGGGUCGUAAAGCUCUGUUGUUAGGGAAGAACAUAUGUAUAAGUAACUGUCCACGUCUUGACGGUACCUAAUCAGAAAGCCCCGGCUAACUUCGUG
rnacentral:rRNA from 1 species